UACGAAGGGGGGGCUAGCGUUUGCUUCGGGAAUCACUGGGCGUAAAGCGCACGUAGGCGGACUCUUAAGUCGGUGGUGAAUCCUGGAGCUCAACUCCAGAACUGCCUUCGAUACUGGGAGUCUCGAGUCCGGGGAGAGGUGAGUGGAACUGCGAGUGUAGAGGUGAAAUUCGUAGAUAUUUCGCAAGAACACCAGUGGGCGAAGGCGGCUCACUGGCCCGGUACUGACGCUGAGGUGCGAAAGCGUGGGGAGCAAACGGG
rnacentral:rRNA from 1 species